rnacentral:misc_RNA from 1 species
AAACCUUCAAGCUCAGCUUGGUGAUGGGUGACUGUCCUAACCAUGGACUCGCCUCAAAUACAUUGGCGGCCGGUACAUUGGCUUCGAGCGCAGCAGAAACGCGAACUCGGAACCAGUGUGCUAGCUCCCAGAAGCUAUCUUCACAA